AGAUGAAUGACAAAUAAAGAUGAAUAUGACUACCACACAUAAUCAUUCUACAAAUAAAGAUGAAUACGCAAAAGAGAGUCACUGAGUAUCCAUUUCAAUGACUCUGCUUUGCAAUGAUGCUGCUUGAGGAAAGGAAGAAAGGGGUUUGGGGGUGGGGAUGACAGAAAUUCAGGAAUCGGUGAUGUGCAACCACCCCUACGAGAAGGAGGGGGAGUCUUUUUUUUUGUUGGGACGAGCAUAUGUAUUUUGGAACCGUGUAUCCAUUUUGUUGUAACAAGGUCUCGCCUUAAUGUUUAUACGCCAUUAAGGCAUUAUUAUUUUUAUCCUUUAGUUUAUUGAACUUUGUUAAUGUUGUUGUAACUAAGACAAAAAUCUGAAAAUUUAUAAUAUUUGAUAUGUAGUUCAAUAGAAAAGAGGGCUUUUGGGAUUAA